rnacentral:rRNA from 1 species
UACGUAGGGGGCUAGCGUUGUCCGGAUUUAUUGGGCGUAAAGAGCGUGUAGGCGGCCAGGUAGGUCUGCUGUGAAAACUCGAGGCUCAACCUCGAGACGUCGGCGGAAACCAUUUGGCUAGAGUCCGGAAGAGGAGAGUGGAAUUCCCGGUGUAGCGGUGAAAUGCGCAGAUAUCGGGAAGAACACCCGUGGCUAAGGCGGCUCUCUAGUACGGUACUGACGCUGAGACGCGAAAGCGUGGGGAGCAAACAGG